rnacentral:tRNA from 1 species
GCCAGGGUGGCUCAGUUGGUUAAGCGUCCGACUUCAGUUUGGGUCGUGAUCUCGUGGUUUGUGGGUUCGAGCCCCGCAUCAGGCU